rnacentral:rRNA from 1 species
AUUGAACGCUAGCGGGAUGCUUUACACAUGCAAGUCGAACGGCAGCGCGGACUUCGGUCUGGCGGCGAGUGGCGAACGGGUGAGUAAUGUAUCGGAACGUGCCCAGUAGCGGGGGAUAACUACGCGAAAGCGUAGCUAAUACCGCAUACGCCCUACGGGGGAAAGCAGGGGAUCGUAAGACCUUGCACUAUUGGAGCGGCCGAUAUCGGAUUAGCUAGUUGGUGAGGUAACGGCUCACCAAGGCGACGAUCCGUUGCUGGUUUGAGAGGACGACCAGCCACACUAGGACUGGGACACGGCCCAGACUCCUACGGGAGGCAGCAGUGGGGAAUUUUGGACAAUGGGGGCAACCCUGAUCCAGCCAUCCCGCGUGUGCGAUGAAGGCCUUCGGGUUGUAAAGCACUUUUGGCAGGAAAGAAACGUCGCGGGCUAAUACCCCGUGGAACUGACGGUACCUGCAGAAUAAGCACCGGCUAACUACGUG